rnacentral:tRNA from 1 species
GGAGCUGUGGCUCAGUGGUAGAGCACUUGCCUAGCAUAUGUGAGUUGCUGGGUUCGAUCCUCAGCACCG